UACGGAGGGGGCCAGCGUUGUUCGGAAUUAUUGGGCGUAAAGGGCGCGUAGGCGGCCGGGUAAGUCUGACGUGAAAUCCCUUGGCUCAACCAAGGAAUUGCGUCUUAAACUGCUCGGCUUGAGUCCGGGAGAGGGUAGUGGAAUUCCCAGUGUAGCGGUGAAAUGCGUAGAUAUUGGGAGGAACACCGGUGGCGAAGGCGGCUACCUGGACCGGUACUGACGCUGAGGCGCGAAAGCUAGGGGAGCAAACAGG
rnacentral:rRNA from 1 species